UACGGAGGGUGCAAGCGUUAAUCGGAAUUACUGGGCGUAAAGCGUGCGCAGGCGGUUUGUUAAGUCUGCUGUGAAAUCCCCGAGCUCAACUUGGGAAUUGCAGUGGAUACUGGCAAGGUGGAGUACGGUAGAGGAAGGUGGAAUUCCCGGUGUAGCAGUGAAAUGCGUAGAGAUCGGGAGGAACACCAGUGGCGAAGGCGAGUCUCUGGACAUUUCCUGACGCUGAGGCACGAAAGCCAGGGGAGCAAACGGG
rnacentral:rRNA from 1 species